rnacentral:rRNA from 1 species
CCUACGGGGGGCAGCAGUAGGGAAUAUUGCUCAAUGGGGGAAACCCUGAAGCAGCAACGCCGCGUGGAGGAUGAAGGUUUUCGGAUUGUAAACUUCUUUUGUUAGAGAAGAUAAUGACGGUAUCUAACGAAUAAGCACCGGCUAACUCCGUGCCAGCAGCCGCGGUAAUACGGAGGGGGCAAGCGUUACUCGGAAUCACUGGGCGUAACGAGCGCGUAGGCGGGAUGGCAAGUCAGAUGUGAAAUCGUAUGGCUUAACCAUAGAACUGCAUUUGAAACUGUUAGUCUAGAGUAUGGGAGAGGUAGGUGGAAUUCUUGGUGUAGGGGUAAAAUCCGUAGAGAUCGAGAGGAAUACUCAUGGCGAAGGCGACCUGCUGGAACAUAACUGACGCUGAGGCGCGAAAGCGUGGGGAGCAAACAGGAUUAGAUACCCUAGUAGUC